rnacentral:rRNA from 1 species
AAGCAUUGUUUCUAGAUCUGAGUAUAUCAAUAUUACCUUGUUCAGAACUUAAAGAGAAAUCUUGAGUUUAUGGACUUCAGGGGGAGUAUGGUCACAAGGCUGAAACUUAAAGGAAUUGACGGAAGGGCACACCAGGAGUGGAGCCUGCGGCUUAAUUUGACUCAACACGGGAAAACUUACCAAGACCGAACAGUAGAAGGAAUGACAGAUUAAGAGUUCUUUCAUGAUUUAUUGGGUAGUGGUGCAUGGCCGUUCUUAGUUGGUGGAGUGAUUUGUCAGGUUAAUUCCGGUAACGAACGAGACUGAAACCUAUUAAUUAGUUUUCUGCCUAUAAGACAGAAAUGUUCGCAAGAACAGGUGCGUAAGUACCACUUCUUAAAGGGACACAUUC